CCGGCCAACUUCCGGCCAAUAUCACCUGAAUUUGACCUCGACCCAAGAGGUAGAAAUGAUCCUCUUCUCGUGGGCUGUUCUCCAAUUUGUUGAAAUCCCUAACGAUUACGUUCCCGGUUGAUAGUUGAAGCAUGUCUAUAGCAUGAUGUGGGAUUGAACUC